rnacentral:SRP_RNA from 1 species
GCCGGGUGUGGUGGUGGGCACCUGUAAUCCCAGCUACUGGGGAGGCUGAGGCAGGAGAAUUGCUUGAACCUGGGAGGUGGAGGUUGCAGUGAGCUGAGAUCACUCCACUGCACUCUAGCCUGGGUAACAAAGCAAGACUCCGUCUCAA